AGAAGAAAAUCAUGAAGUACAUCUAAAGAAGCUUCCGAACUCUCUAAUGCGGAUAAUCUAUUGUAUAUGUAGACUUCAGAACCAACUUUAUGAGCAUUAAAACUGCUGUUAACAUACAGUAUCUAAGCGGUGUUAUUGCAUUCACAUAGACAGAAUCUGUACAGAGAACUCUGUAUUGAAUUUCGCCACUGUGGGGCGUUUUGUGCACAUUUCUGUAGUUAAUUUGCUUUAUGUAUCUGAUCGGACAAGAAGCUCGCGAAGGAACUGAACUGUUGUAAUUGCCUUGGUGGAGGUGAUGGCGUCAUUCCGUGCCCCGGUGUAGCCUCCCGUGCUCGAAAGAAGAAGGGAGAAGGAUUUUAGGCCGAGGCGAUCGUGGCUCCCGCAGCCGGGAUCGAGCAGCGCCAACCCGGACACCUCACCCCAACAAAUAUGGAGGCUGUGUCGGAGGAGCUGCGGGCCGGCUCUCGGAUUCCGGUGCUCAUCGAGCAGAUAGUAAAUGAUACAUUAGUGGUGACCCUCAGCUACAGAGAUCGGAGCUACACAGGAAUAUUAUUAGACUGCAACAAAAAGACUGGGCUAUUUUGUCUACCAGACGUAUUGAAGCAGAGUGAACCUCCAGUAUCAAAACCCAGUGGAAUGCUAGAUGAAAAAAUGUGCUUUGAGCCUUCUGUCAAGCCUCAGCUACAACCAAGCGGUGAAACGACCCAGGUGAUCCCUGAGAAUCAGCCUGUCUCUACUCCUGCUCCUGUACCUACAGGGCUUCCCCCAUACCCUCCUUAUUUUGAUGGGGUUCCUUUUCCACAGCCCCUGUGGGUCCGGCAUAGCUACAACCAGUGGGUCCCUCAGCCUCCACCAAGGACUAUCAAAAGAAGAAAACGACGAAGCCGGGAUUCCAGCAGAUUGACCAUGAGUACGAUUAGAUUACGACCCAGACAGGUUCUCUGUGAGAAGUGCAAAAACACAUUAAACAGCGAUGAUGAUAACAAAGACGGACAAAAUUCUAAAGCUGCUAAAAAGGAGAACGCUGAAGUUAAGGAGUCCAAAAGGCGCGAGGAAAUGGACUUUGACGGUAAAAGAUGGAAAAAGGAGAAAAAAGAUGAAGACCGGUUUCCAGGGGAAAUUGUUCCUCACAGUCCAGUUAUCAAGAUAUCUUAUAGUACUCCACAAGGAAAAGGGGAAGUGAUGAAAAUUCCCUCAAGAGUGCAUGGCUCAGUAAAGCCAUUCUGCCCAAAGCAGUUGAUGCAGAAUGGCAUUGGGGACCACAACAAAAGCAGAGACCUUCAAGAAAACAAAAGCCUUCUUGAAAAGUCAGGAAGUUGCUCAGCUACAUCCAUUCCAAAACUCAAACUAACAAGGCCUUUGCAUUCCAGUGUGGAUGUUCCAUCUCCAAAAAUCAGACUAAAACCUCGAAACAGCGGAGAGGACAGCAUUUCAAUAUAUGAGGCCGAACUUGUAGAUGGUCCACGGAGACAAAGCCAGCAGAUGCAGAGAUCAGUUCAUACCGAUAUGCAUUCAGAAGACUCUGUUGAGAAGAGUUCACUUGAGAUGUCCUCAGGUAGCUCCGGGGAAGAGGAUGAGUUUAAGAAGCAACACAGUGAUGUGGAGCAACACAGUGAUUUGACUUUGCUGCUUAAUUUUCGUAAGAGAAAAGCGGACUCGUCUAGUUUGUCUGUCUGCAGCAGUGACAGUUUGGAUGAAUCAAAAUCUUGCAGCUCAGAUGGGACAUCUCCAGAGUUGUGCGACUUUGCUCCUGGAGAAGAUAUAUCUGUUUCAUCAUCUUCAAAAGAUGAGCAGAAGACUGUUCCACCCUUAACGGUUCGACUAAACACCAAAAGUGUGACUAAGUGUGUAACAGAGGAAGGACGAACUGUAUCGGUCGGAGACAUAGUGUGGGGUAAAAUUCAUGGAUUUCCAUGGUGGCCCGCCCGCGUUCUGAGCAUUAGCACAAGCAGAAAGGAUGAAAGGGAGCCACUUUGGCAGGAAGCAAAAGUGUCCUGGUUUGGCUCACCCACAACCUCCUUGCUCUCCGUGUCAAAACUCUCACCCUUUCUGGAGUUUUUCCGUUUGAGAUUUAACCGAAAGAAGAAAGGAAUGUAUCGGAGAGCUAUUGCAGAAGCUGCCAAGGCAGCUGAACAUUUGACCCCAGAAAUAGCCUCUCUUCUCACACAUUGUGAAACGUAGGAUGUCAGUCACACAGCAAAUGACAGGAAUUGAACUGGGGACUGUGAGUAAUGUAUGCUUCAAAAGUAGGUUCAAUCUGCGAGCAGGUAAUUGACCAUUUAAAUAAGGAAGUGUAGUACUGGGUCUAGGUGUCCUAAUAGUUACACGAUUGCACUGUUUCUGUGGAACAUAGACCACCAUGUAGGCCUACAUUAAUUAAAGUCCUGUAUAUCCAAAUAUUAAUCUAUGGAAUUUCUUUCCCUAUUUUUUGUGGUUUGAGUAAGGUACUGCGGUACCUUCUCAUUUAGGGGAUUUAAUUUCGUGUACUUUGAAACCUAAAUUUUCUUGAUCUGAACCUAUUAUAACUUAUAAGCCAAAAAAUGUUCGAAAUGACCAUUGCUAUGACAAUCCUUUUAUUCUCCCACCAUGGGAUUUAUAAAAGAUGAAAAGGUGUCCAUCUUUUUUUACAUAUUGAAAUACAAUUCUCCAAAAAAACACGAGAACUUCUUUUGUGUAAUAGUUUUCGUUUUGACACAAAUAAGAAUACAGUAUAUAUAAGAUACAUCACAUUAGUUAAUAAUAGUUAAACUUUCAAAACGCAUACCACGUAGAUUCCAAACGUGCUUAACUCUCUCCUGAGUUUAUAUUUUAUAUCAUAUUUCACAAGCUCAUAAUCAAAUUGUGGUUAUGUAAGGCUUGAUUGCCUUUAAUUUUUCAGUAGUGUGUUGGUGAACAUGGAAUACAGUUCUGAAUCAUUCAGGAAUCCUUUUCCCUGCUGGAUAAACACCAUGGAUUCAGCCUGGUGGUAUGGCUAUGCUGGUCAACCCAGUCCUCAGCCAUAGCCUUCAGGGCAACUGUCUGCAAGAGUGUCCACACUAAAAGUUUUGCGUAAACAAACUCAAUGUGUUAUAAACACCAGACUGUUUGUGCAGUCUAAACAAUUCUUGCUUUAGUAAUGGUGAUUUUUCACCAUUUAAUUUAAACUGUAUCGUGGCUAUUAGAGUAACUGCUAGCCUUUAAAAGUCUGAAUUUGUAAAGUCCAACUUAAAAGACCAUGCGCUUGCUUGGAAUUGUUUGUCUCCUACGUCUCCUAUCAUUGGUAACAUUCUGUGACAUUUAUCAAUUUAAAAUCUGUCCUCUCAAGUGGAUGACCUAACCACAAAGCAGCAAUUGUGGCAUUCUGCUCUGUUCAUCCUAUCAAAACACUAUUGCUACCUUAAAAUUUCAAUAACGUGUGAGUGUUUCCUUCUGGAACAUGGUGCCAUGAUACUGAAAUAGCUUGAAAGAGUUCAACUUGUGUGGAGUAGAUACGAUGCAAAACAUUAAGGAGAACUAUAAAUUUGGAUGAUACACUCAUGAAAGAUCCUUUAAACUUAAAUGGCAAUAGAUAAAAUAAGAAAAAAUAAAAUACCCAAGAACUGUAAAUUUAACAAUUAAAUUUGCAUUUUAACAGCCAGAGCCAUUUGGUGAAAAGACUACAUUUCUAAAAGCAGAGUGGUACACAAGGCUGCCUGAACACACUUCUUUUCCUGAUCAGGUUCCCAAAGCAGGUUUGUGAUUAAGAACCAAGCAUGUGGCAGUUCAGAUAUUUGCUACGUUUACACAGGUUUAUAUACUGUAUAUGUGAGUCCAUAACGAAAAAAUCAGAAAUGUGGAAGGCAAAGUCUAAAAUGAGGAGAUCCUUGAUGUAUGCCAAGUAACUCAUCAAGGUAACUCGAACAGACAAACUUGUGUUAAGUUGUUGAUCGUUUUAAACACUUAUAGCCCUUACUCAAGCGCAGUCAGCCUGACGCUUAUUCUGGUUUCUGUAGUGUUAAGCAUGUUGAGAGCACGUGACCCGCCACUAGAAAGAACAAAGGGUGCUUAGAGAAUCUAAAACUUGAAUUUGAACCUUACAUUGAUGAUGCACAGGAUAAAUGUGAAUUUUAAAAUGUGUUAUUAUGAACAAAGUCAACUAAAUUAUAUACCAGAUAAUUUUAACAAAAUCUAAAAGACCAGAUUUUUAAAGCCUUGCUGCCUUGCUUACAAAAAUAAACUAAAGAAAAAAAUACUUGUGGUGUUUUUCAACUGUUAUUAUUUUGGUGAAACUGAUGUAGUACUUCACCUCUGUUUGGAAGUCAGAAUUUCGAAUAUGAUUUGACCAUUUCAUUUUAGGAAUAUUGUCACUUGCAAAAGAAAAUAUCUUACCUUAUCUUACCUUACCAUGUUCAUUUGUUUGAAAUAAAGCAGAGCACCAACAACACCAAAAUUUACAUUAUUAUCCCAUGGCCCCAAAAUAAAAUGCCUUCUAAAACAUUUUAGUAUAGAUGCAGUGGCCAUCUAAUAAAUAUUUCCAUUUGACAAAACACGUCAUCUUUCAGCUUUACUUAUUUUUAUGCGAUAAUGUUAUUGGUGAGACAAAGGCCAAAAGGAACCUUACUUUUUUGAGGAGCAGAUUAAAUGCAUCUUCAUCUUGAAUUAAAAUUGUUGAAUCAAAAAUAAAGUGCAAUCAGUUCUGAACAUCACAAUUCUGAAUGCCUUGAAGUUAUUUUUGUGAAACUGAUGUUCUAUUUCACUUUUGUCAAAAAAGCCUGUGUGUUUUAGGUCAGAUCUUUCAUUUUUGUUUCCUGGAAAAAAAGCAUUUGCUUUUGCAAACUGGUUCUGUCAUAUUUUGUGUCCAACAAUUCAUUAUGUUGCCUCUUUUAAUUGUGAGUACUUUAUGUAUGGAGCAUCAGAAACAUUUUAUAUAAACUGUUACCAAAUUCAGGGGAUUGAAAUUUUAUUGACUGUUUUUUUUUCAUACCCUAAUUAGGACCAGUCCUAAGCUUGCUUAUCUAAAUAUUUAUUAGGUAAUGCAAUAUUAGAAAAAAUAAACUUGAUUAAAUAAAUGUGCAGGUUUUGAAGAGAUUUGAAAGAGAUUUUGUGCCAAAUUGUUUGUAUUACAAAAUAUAUUCCUACGUUAUCUGGCCACAUUAUAGUAUUGUAACUUGUUCCAGUUUCUAUAAAAAUGGUUGCAAAGGAAUGCUAAGACUUAUAAAAAUUCUAAAGAUGUAUGGGACAAUUCUCACUGCAAUGAUCAAAAGUUACCCAAGCAAUUAUAAUUGUAUAUUUAAACUUUUGAUUUUGUGGGUUGACUUAAGUUUUAGUAUACAAUUGUUAUUCUGAUUAUAUAUGCAUUCUGUAAUCAAAUCAAAGUUUAUUUAUCAAAUGCACAACAAAACAGCAUGCAGCAGUAGUUGCUGGCAAUGAAAUGUCUUUAAGAAGGAAGGUGCUGUUGACGAGGAUGGGGUUACCAUUUUUGCCCUUAUCUGAAGAGAUUUUGUGCUGUUAUGAGAUAAUCAAUCUGAAAUUAAAAUUAAUCUGUCUGCAUCCUAUGUAUCGAUUAGACAUCAGAAGGUUAUGUUGCAUGAUGGAGAGAAUCAGUUUGGCUUUUUGUAGCAGGUGAAAUGUAAUUAUUAGUUAUUAGUGUGUAAAUGGUUGUGUGAAUUUGUACACUGCGAUAGGCUGGAGUCCCUGCAAGAUUACUUCAACUCACUUCGACCCUUGGAGGAUAAAGCAUUUUCUGAAAAGUGAUGGAUGAGUGAUUGAAUAAAUGACACUGAAGAUUGGAGUACAGCUGUCUUCCAAGUGAUUAAUAAUCCUACGAACAUCCAUCUAUGUUCCCCAGGAGAGCCUUUUGGUUGCCAUACUUCUUGAUAUGGGAAGAUCUUUGUUAUUGAAGCCCUCCUCAGCUUGGGAGAAGAACAAGGACACCUGGGUGAAGCAGUGGUCACGUUAGGGAGCAAGACAUAAAUGAGGCUUCUCAAGGACAACUUAAGGAUUCCUUUUUAGAAUUUAUUUUUAAUAGAGUGAAUAGUGAUCCUACAACUCAGAAUGUAUUUAUUAUCUGCAACACUUUAGUCAAUCUUUUACAAUCUAAAUCUAUUUGCUGCUGCUUGUUUUACAUAAUGGAUAUUUCACCCAGCUAUGACUGUUAACAAGAGAUAUGAAUGACUGAAUUACAUGAAUCCUGGUGCCAUCAGUUUUUAAAAAGAAAAAGAACAGUCUUAUUGUACAGUUUUCACUUUACAGAUCCAAAAAUAAUGUGAAGCAUUGGUUUUCUGAAAUCAUACAGUAGGUCUUAAAAUUCGGUAUGUUAUUAUUUUUAAUAGCUGCAGCAUUGUUACCCUUUUCAUGCCAAUACGUUUCUAUAUUUCCAUAAAAAAGGAAGAGUUAUUUUUGUGUUUAUCUUAGACUACUUUCUAUGCUGGUGAUCGAUGUAUCUUUCUGUUCUUGCUCUAUUUAAUGUUUCGUUAGAAGAAAGCACUUUAUCUUUACCUUGGUGGCCUGCUGUAAACCAGUUUUGAGUUUCUAUGUCACAACACUAACUGGAGUUCCUCAGAUAAAAGCAUUAAAUGGUUCUUGUAACAUGGAUAAAUAAACAAUUAAUUUGAAAGCAACAGUUCUUAUAUGGGGGUGUAUACACUAUUCUUGCACUUAAUUUAAGUGUAUUGUACAUUUUCCCAAAUGUUCCGUUCGAGUAAUGAAUUCUAUGCAUCAUGUUUUGUAUAAAGCUUUAAAAUAUUGAAUGAAUGCUGUGAAUGCAACACCAGUUUAUUCUAAAGAGGAAGUCAGUGAUCAGGCUUACUAUUAUUGAAAUGAAAGGACUUAUUGAAGCUCAAGAAUAUAAGAAAUAUUUGCCUGACGUGUUUUAAAAAAUAAAUUACACAGUAAGUAAUGAGGUUGGGGGUUGAAGGGAGAGGAGUUUAAAACAUACGUAUUGCAUAUUUAAGGCUCACUGUAAUUGCACUGCCCUAAAAAAAGGGCUUGGUUUCUAUUUCUUUACAUAUGUAUAUUUUUGAGAACAUUUGGACAGUGUUCACAUAUUCAUGCCGUUUCACUUGUAUAACCUGCUGGUUUUUGAAGACUGGAAACAACAGGUGAAGAUAUUGCAUAAAGCAAUAAAGUAACUUGCUGUGACCCAUCCCAACUUACUGAGCUAUUUUUGAUUUACUGUACGUAAAAUAAAAUAUACAAGCAA